rnacentral:rRNA from 1 species
UACAGAGGGUGCGAGCGUUAAUCGGAAUUACUGGGCGUAAAGGGCGCGCAGGCGGUCACACAAGUGGCAUGUGAAAUCCCCGGGCUUAACCUGGGAACUGCAUGCCAGACUGUGUGACUGGAGUACUGUAGAGGAUAGUGGAAUUUCCGGUGUAGCGGUGAAAUGCGUAGAGAUCGGAAGGAACACCAGUGGCGAAGGCGACUGUCUGGACAGAUACUGACGCUGAGGCGCGAAAGCGUGGGGAGCAAACAGG